GAAUUCACUUUAUGUGGAUCAGAUUUUCCGAUUGAGAUUAGUCACUAAUAAACAGCGGCGAAAACUUCAUUUAAUAACAUGGUAACGAAAAAAAAAACUUAUAGUCAAUGACCAUGCUUUAGCACAUCAUGAAUGAUUAAGUGAUGGGCAUGUCCUUGAUUAAGAUAAUUGAUUUACACAUUUUAAUGUUACAUAUAGCAUGAUAAUAGUAGAGUACCUGCGUCAAAAAAAAAAAAAAAAUAGUAGAGUACCUAUAUAAAAACAUUAGAUUAAUUAGUUUUUAUUUUGAUGAUAUAAAAACAUUAGACUUUUGGUUCUUAUAGAACCAAGCUAGAUGCAUAUGUUUUGAUCUUCACUUAAUUAACUUGAUUGGUACUCUUCUCCACCCAACGAUUUGGUUUGCUUACUUCACUGAAGGCUUAGAAACUUCAACCUACAUUACAAAAACAAUAUUUGUAGAUUUUAUGGUGUGUGAGUAAAUGAAACAGGGCAAAUGAAUAAAUAAUAAAACUAUAUAUUCUAAAUUAUAAU
rnacentral:lncRNA from 1 species